rnacentral:rRNA from 2 species
UGGUAAUGCCGGAUGCUCCAGUUGAUCGCAUGGUCUUCUGGGAAAGCUUUCGCGGUAUGGGAUGGGGUCGCGUCCUAUCAGCUUGACGGCGGGGUAACGGCCCACCGUGGCUUCGACGGGUAGCCGGCCUGAGAGGGCGACCGGCCACAUUGGGACUGAGAUACGGCCCAGACUCCUACGGGAGGCAGCAGUGGGGAAUAUUGCACAAUGGGCGCAAGCCUGAUGCAGCGACGCCGCGUGAGGGAUGGAGGCCUUCGGGUUGUAAACCUCUUUUAUCGGGGAGCAAGCGUGAGUGAGUUUACCCGUUGAAUAAGCACCGGCUAACUACGUGCCAGCAGCCGCGGUAAUACGUAGGGUGCAAGCGUUAUCCGGAAUUAUUGGGCGUAAAGGGCUCGUAGGCGGUUCGUCGCGUCCGGUGUGAAAGUCCAUCGCUUAACGGUGGAUCCGCGCCGGGUACGGGCGGGCUUGAGUGCGGUAGGGGAGACUGGAAUUCCCGGUGUAACGGUGGAAUGUGUAGAUAUCGG